rnacentral:lncRNA from 1 species
UUUUCAUUAUUCACACAAUUCAAUCUGAUUUCAAGGGUUUAACGUCAGCAUUUUCAUCAUUCCCACAAUUCAAUCAAAUUUUAUAGGUUUAACAACAAAAUUUUCAUCAUGCACAUAAUUCAAUCAAAUUUCAUGGUUUUAACAACAAUAUUUUCGUUUAUUCCCACAAUUAAAUCAAAUUUCAUGGGUUUAACAUCAUCAUUUUCAUCAUUCCCUCAAUUCAAUCAAUUUUCGUGGGUUUAACAUCAACAUUUUCAUCAUUCCCACAAUUCAAUCAAAUUUCAUGGGUUUAACAUCAUCAUUUUCAUCAUUCUCGCAAUUCAAUCAAAUUUCAUGGGUUUAACAUCACACUUUUAUCAUUCCCACAAUUCAAUCAAAUUUUAUGUAUUUAACAACAACAUUUUCAUUAUUCACAUAAUUCAAUGAAAUAUCAUGGGUUUAACAUCAAUAUUUUCAUCAUUCCCACAAUUCAAUCAAAUUUCAUGGGUUUAACAUCAUCAUUUUCAUCAUUCCCACAAUUCAAUCAAAUUUCAUGGGUUUAACAUCAUCAUUUUCAUCAUUCCCACAAUUCAAUCAAAUUUCAUGGGUUUAACAUCACACUUUUAUCAUUCC